rnacentral:rRNA from 1 species
UGCGAACUCCUACGGGAGGCAGCAGUGGGGAAUUUUGGACAAUGGGGGCAACCCUGAUCCAGCAAUGCCGCGUGAGUGAAGAAGGCCUCCGGGUUGUAAAGCUCUUUUGUCAGGGAAGAAACGGUAGUAGCUAAUAUCUAUUACUAAUGACGGUACCUGAAGAAUAAGCACCGGCUAACUACGUGCCAGCAGCCGCGGUAAUACGUAGGGUGCAAGCGUUAAUCGGAAUUACUGGGCGUAAAGCGUGCGCAGGCGGUUGUGUAAGUCAGAUGUGAAAUCCCCGGGCUCAACCUGGGAAUUGCAUUUGAGACUGCACGGCUAGAGUGUGUCAGAGGGGGGUAUUAUUCCACGUGUAGCAGUGAAAUGCGUAGAUAUGUGGAAGAAUACCGAUGGCGAAGGCAGCCCCCUGGGAUAACACUGCCGCUCAUGCACAAAAGCGUGAGGAGCAAAGAGUAUUAGAAACCCUAGUACUCCAGAUG